AAGUCGUAACAAGGUUUCCGUAGGUGAACCUGCGGAAGGAUCAUUAAUACGCUUUUGUUUGUAACAAAACAAAACGUUUUAAACUCCAAAAGAAAUAGUGGAAACAUAACUUCCGGAUGCGAAUGUUGGGGAACUGAGUCCAAUCGGUUCUUUGAAAAAGGGACUUCAAGCAAUUGACACUUCAGAGUAGAGCAGUGAGGUGAAAUUCUCUUUACUGAGAGUUUGGUUCUGAAAAACAUUUGUAUCCGGUUUCAUAAUCUGUUCUACGAACUCCAAAAUAUCAAACAAUAAACCCCAUGUACAACAACUUGAACUAAACAUUUUUUUGUUAUCGGCUUGCACUUGUGUGAGAAGAUACUACAAAGAAAAAACCUGAACUUAAGAACAACUCUUAACAACGGAUAUCUUGGUUCUC
rnacentral:misc_RNA from 1 species